UUUUUACUAUGGGCUACAGAAUUUCCCUGUGCUACUUGCAGGUGAAAUAAAAACUGGAGGAAAUCCUUACUAAAAAAAAAAAAAAAAAUUUCAAGCCAACAAGCAUUUCUUCAUAUGACACAAAGCAAAACAGAUAGAAAAAUGUUAGGAUGUGUAGUUUUGAGGAUUGGCAACUUGGUGAAGAUUCAGUGCUUACAAGACUCUAAUCAUCAAAAGUGCUCAUGAAUCCACCAAUAAAGCCAGCUCCAUUACAACUUCCACACAGAAUGUCCCUUUUACCUCUGCAGAGCCAGCAUAAUCCACCGGCCUUAAACUGUCCAUUGAAGUGGUCAACAGAAUUGACUCCUGUUCCUUUGCAUUGGGAACACAAUAUAGCACCGUUUCCAUCACAAUCAGGACAGACUAAGCUAUUUGGUUUAGUGCUUUUACCACUAUCUGUAGCCUUAACUUCCAAAGAUUGAAAUUUACUAUAUUUGAAAGUUUGGAAAACUUUGUUCACCCUAAGAACCUUCCCAGCAGCGGAAUUCCCAAGAACUACUCCUGGUUUGUUAGGAGAGAGAGAAGAGCAAACAGGGGUCAAACAUAUAGUAUUCACCAUUUUCAAUAGAAAUGCAAACUGGGUUCUUUCUUCAAGUGAUCUUUGAGCAGAAAAAGAGGAGCUUAACUAAAGAGUCAGAGAGAGCGAAAGUCUGUUUCUGUGUGCGUGUUCAGUUGUUGGUGGCAACGAACGCAGAUAAAUUACCAGCAGAUAAGGCUCCGCUGGUUUGCAAC
rnacentral:misc_RNA from 1 species